rnacentral:lncRNA from 11 species
GGAUGAACUGCAACUCCCAUCAUCCUGGGUCCAUCCCAUGAUAGAUUGACAGAUAGAUAAGUACAUAUGUAGAGAGAUAGAUGAUAAAUAGAUGUGUUUGGGUAUUGGGUGCGAGGAAGGUGGUGCUGAAAAUCCCAUUUAUUUAUUUUUUGUCUGAUUUCCUGACCAGAGGUGGCUGGCCGCAAACUCCUCGGCCCUUCGUUCCGAAGCGAGGCAGCUCGGUGUGCGUUUGCAGCAGCAGGAGCUGGAAAACAAGUUCCUCAAAGGAGAACUCGCCGUCCUGCAAAACUGGACCCUGAAGCUGGAAGACUUAAAGUAAGUUGAGUUUGUGCUUCGUUCGGUCCAGCGUUUCCCCGCCGGGAACUCUUUAGAACUGUUAUUCAGCGACUACGGAAAGACGGAAUUAUUCAGUGACUAUGGAAAGAUGGAAUAAAUUAUUUGCUUCCGUCGGGAGUCAUCCUGGACUCCACAAGUCUCCAGUCCCCAAUGAGUAGCUAGACUAGGAAAACAGGAUUAGAAGGAGGGGAUACUUUCUCUAUUACGGGAACUCUUUAGAACUGUUAUUCAGUGACUAUGGAAAGACGGAAUUAUUCAAUGACUGUGGAAAGAUGGAAUAAAUUAUUUGCUUCCGUCGGGAGUCAUCCUGGACUCCACAAGUCUCCAGUCCCCAAUGAGUAGCUAGACUACGAAAACAGGAUUAGAAGGAGGGGAUACUUUCUCUAUUACGGGAACUCUUUAGAACUGUUAUUCAGUGACUAUGGAAAGACGGAAUUAUUCAGUGACUAUGGAAAGAUGGAAUAAAUUAUUUGCUUCCAUCGGGAGUCAUCCUGGACUCCACAAGUCUCCAGUCCCCAAUGAGUAGCUAGACUAGGAAAACAGGAUUAGAAGGAGGGGAUACUUUCUCUAUUACGGGAAAUCUUUAGAACUGUUAUUCAGUGACUGUGGAAAGACGGA